CCUGGAGUGAAGGAAAUGAAUGUUUUGUUCACAAAUACUGCCCAACUGACUACCAAAAAUGCUCUCAGCUCGUCCUUCCGGUCUCUGUUUUACAUGUACCACAUGCCGGGUAUCUUCACAGCUGUGGACACCAUGACUGUCUGUUUGAGCCAAUACCCAAAAUAACGGAGCUGAAAUGAAGCUCAGGUCCAAGAUGUCCACUCCACGUUAUGCACAAAGAACCAUGGUUAAUAUCUGAAUUCGCCUACAUCAGGAAGCCUGGAUGAUAGAACGGCUGGCGUUACAAUGGCGGAGGAGGUUUGCUUCAAGCUGGACUGCAGAAAUAUAAAGGACUUUUUUAAACCCCAGGUCACCCUGGAAAGCGCCAUUCCUGACCACUACCUCCUACUCCUCCUCAAUUCCCUGCACACAUUGCCCACACAAAGGCAACUCCUGGGUUUUCCUCUCCCAAUAACUCUCUUGUGUGAGUGUCCAGGUGCCCCAUUACAUAGACUGGCCAAGGCUGCAUCUAUAAUGCCAAAACACAAAAGGCUGCUGCAGGAGGAUCACUAGUUUGAAGCCAACAUGUGCUACGUAACCAGACUUUUUCAGAUUGACAAAUCAGAAGGUAAGUGACCUUUAUUAUUGAAUGUUAUCAUUAAACUGCA
rnacentral:lncRNA from 1 species